rnacentral:rRNA from 1 species
UACGGAGGGUGCAAGCGUUGUCCGGAAUCACUGGGCGUAAAGGGCGCGUAGGCGGCUCAUGAAGGCUGUGGUGAAAGUCCGGGGCUCAACCUCGGAUCGGCCGUGGCGACUCGUGGGCUGGAGCACUGUAGAGGCGGGUGGAAUUCCGGGUGUAGCGGUGGAAUGCGCAGAUAUCAGGAAGAACACCCGUGGCGAAGGCGGCUCUCUGGAACGCAACUGACGCUGAGACGCGAAAGCGUGGGGAGCAAACAGG